rnacentral:rRNA from 1 species
GACGAACGCUGGCGGCGUGCUUAACACAUGCAAGUCGAACGGUGAAAGCGGAGCUUGCUCCGCUGGAUCAGUGGCGAACGGGUGAGUAACACGUGGGCAACCUGCCCUUCACUUCGGGAUAACUCCGGGAAACCGGGGCUAAUACCGGAUAUGACCUCUGCGGGCAUCCGCGGAGGUGGAAAGUUUUUCGGUGAAGGAUGGGCCCGCGGCCUAUCAGCUUGUUGGUGAGGUAGUGGCUCACCAAGGCGACGACGGGUAGCCGGCCUGAGAGGGCGACCGGCCACACUGGGACUGAGGCACGGCCCAGACUCCUACGGGAGGCAGCAGUGGGGAAUAUUGCGCAAUGGGCGAAAGCCUGACGAGGCGACGCCGCGUGAGGGAUGAAGGUCUUCGGAUUGUAAACCUCUUUCAGUAGGGACGAAGCGAAAGUGACGGUACCUAAAGAAGAAGCACCGGCUAACUACGUGCCAGCCGCCGCGGUAA